rnacentral:rRNA from 1 species
ACGAACGCUGGCGGCGUGCUUAACACCUGCAAGUCGAACGGAAAGGCCCUGCUUUUGUGGGGUGCUCGAGUGGCGAACGGGUGAGUAACACGUGAGUAACCUGCCCUUGACUUUGGGAUAACUUCAGGAAACUGGGGCUAAUACCGGAUAGGAGCUCCUGCUGCAUGGUGGGGGUUGGAAAGUUUCGGCGGUUGGGGAUGGAUUCGCGGCUUAUCAGCUUGUUGGUGGGGGAGUGGCUUACCAAGGCUUUGACGGGUAGCCGGCCUGAGAGGGUGACCGGCCACAUUGGGACUGAGGUACGGCCCAGACUCCUACGGGAGGCAGCAGUGGGGAAUAUUGCACAAUGGGCGGAAGCCUGAUGCAGCAACGCCGCGUGCGGGAUGACGGCCUUCGGGUUGUAAACCGCUUUCGCCUGUGACGAAGCGUGAGUGACGGUAAUGGGUAAAGAAGCACCGGCUAACUACGUG